rnacentral:rRNA from 1 species
UACGUAGGGUGCAAGCGUUAAUCGGAAUUACUGGGCGUAAAGCGUGCGCAGGCGGCUAUGCAAGACAGAUGUGAAAUCCCCGGGCUCAACCCUGGGAACUGCAUUUGUGACUGCAUGGCUAGAGUACGGUAGAGGGGGAUGGAAUUCCCGCGUGUAGCAGUGAAAUGCGUAGAUAUGCGGAGGAACACCGAUGGCAAAGGCAAUCCCCUGGACCUGUACUGACGCUCAUGCACGAAGCGUGGGGAGCAACAGG